rnacentral:ribozyme from 1 species
UGCCCAGCUACUCCUAUCCCUACCUCCUCCUGGUACUGGCCGAGGUACGAGUAACCUUGGGGAAGAUCCAACCCCGGUGGGAACUUUAAUCGUAUGCUGACAGGGAAGG